rnacentral:rRNA from 1 species
GGCUCAGGACGAACGCUGGCGGCGCGCCUAAUACAUGCAAGUCGAGCGAGAAGGUGUAGCAAUACACUUGUAAAGCGGCGAACGGGUGAGGAAUGCAUGGGUAACCUACCCUCGAGUGGGGAAUAACUAGCCGAAAGGUUAGCUAAUACCGCAUACGUUUCCGGAACUUCGGUUCUGGAAAGAAAGCAAUACCGUGGGUAUUGCGCUCAUGGAUGGGCUCAUGUCCUAUCAGCUUGUUGGUGAGGUAAUGGCUCACCAAGGCUUCGACGGGUAGCUGGUCUGAGAGGACGAUCAGCCACACUGGCACUGCGACACGGGCCAGACUCCUACGGGAGGCAGCAGUAAGGAAUACUGCGCAAUGGACGAAAGUCUGACGCAGCGACGCCGCGUGGGGGAUGAAGGUCUUCGGAUUGUAAACCCCUUUCGGGAGGGAAGAUGGAGUGGGUAACCACUUGGACGGUACCUCCAGAAGCAGCCACGGCUAACUUCGUGCCAGCAGCCGCGGUAAUACGAAGGUGGCAAGCGUUGUUCGGAUUCACUGGGCGUACAGGGAGCGUAGGCGGUUGGGUAAGCCCUCCGUGAAAUCUCCGGGCCUAACCCGGAAAGUGCAGAGGGGACUGCUCAGCUAGAGGAUGGGAGAGGAGCGCGGAAUUCCCGGUGUAGCGGUGAAAUGCGUAGAGA